AACGAACGCUGGCGGCAUGCCUAACACAUGCAAGUCGAACGAGACAUUCGGGCUUAGUGGCGCACUGGUCGGUAACGCGUGGGAACCUGCCCUUAAGUCUGGAAUAACGUGCGGGAUGGCGUGCUAAUACGGGCUCAUAUCCCCCGUCCAAAGAUGUAGCGCCUUUGGGUGGGCCAGAGUUCGAUUACUAUGAUGGUAGGGUAAAAGCCUACCAAGGGGAGGAUGCAUAGCUGCUUUGAGAGGAUGAUCAGACACACUGGGACGGAGACACGGCCCAGACUCGUACGGGAGGCAGCAGUGGGGAAUAGUGGACGAUGGGCGAAAGCAUGAGCCAGCAAUGCCGCGAGAGUGAUGAAGGCGGGAGGGUUGGAAAGCUCUUUUACCCGAUGAUAAUGACAGUACCGGGAGAAUAAGCCCCGGCUAACUCCGUG
rnacentral:rRNA from 1 species